rnacentral:siRNA from 1 species
UCCAGUGAUUUUCUUGAUAUCAGU